rnacentral:rRNA from 1 species
AUUGAACGCUGGCGGCAUGCUUUACACAUGCAAGUCGAACGGUAACAGGUUAAGCUGACGAGUGGCGAACGGGUGAGUAAUGCAUCGGAACGUGCCCGGUCGUGGGGGAUAACGCAGCGAAAGCUGCGCUAAUACCGCAUACGAUCUAUGGAUGAAAGCGGGGGAUCGCAAGACCUCGCGCGAUUGGAGUGGCCGAUAUCAGAGUAGGUAGUUGGUGGGGUAAAGGCUCACCAAGCCGACGAUCUGUAGCUGGUCUGAGAGGACGACCAGCCACACUGGAACUGAGGCAAGGUACAGACUCCUAGGGGAGGCAGCAGUGGAGAAUUUUGGACAAUGGGCGCAAGCCUGAUCCAGCAAUGCCGCGUGCAGGAUGAAGGCCUUCGGGUUGUAAACUGCUUUUGUACGGAGCGAAACGGUCUACUCUAAUACAGUGGGUUAAUGACGGUACCGUAAGAAUAAGCACCGGCUAACUACGUGCCAGCAGCCGCCGUAA